AUUGAACGCUGGCGGCAUGCUUUACACACGCAAGUCGAACGGUAACAGGGUGCUUGCACCGCUGACGAGUGGCGAACGGGUGAGUAAUGCGUCGGAACGUGCCGAGUAGUGGGGGAUAACGCAGCGAAAGUUGUGCUAAUACCGCAUACGUACUGAGGUAGAAAGUGGGGGACCUUCGGGCCUCACGCUAUUCGAGCGGCCGACGUCUGAUUAGCUAGUAGGUGAGGUAAAGGCUCACCUAGGCGACGAUCAGUAGCGGGUCUGAGAGGAUGAUCCGCCACACUGGGACUGAGACACGGCCCAGACUCCUACGGGAGGCAGCAGUGGGGAAUUUUGGACAAUGGGCGAAAGCCUGAUCUAGCCAUGCCGCGUGUCUGAAGAAGGCCUUCGGGUUGUAAACUGCUUUUGUCAGGGAAGAAAUCCUCUAGGUUAAUACCCUUGGGGGGAUGACGGUACCUGAAGAAUAAGCACCGGCUAACUACGUGCCAGCCGCCGCCGUAAGAC
rnacentral:rRNA from 1 species